GAUAUCUGCACUGGUUGUUAACUCUUUACUAGCAGCAGUUGUUUCUGUUCUCUGGAAACAAGCCUAGGAGCAGACACAAGUGUGAGCUCUGAGCCCACAAUCCUGGUUUUCCCUUGAAAUAUGAGGCUGGUGAUUGGAGUAACUGUUUUUCUGACCUUGGGGACUGUGAUUAAUUCUAAGACCAUCCAGCCUGGCCCCAUGGAUUGUGCUGAAGGAGAAGAUGUAAACCUGCCUUGUAACCACUCUACCAUUGGUGGAGAUGACUAUAUACAUUGGUAUCGGCAAAAUCCCAAUCAGAGUCCACAGUAUGUCAUUCAUGGCUUACGAGGCACAGUGAACAGCAGCACGGCCUCUCUGACCAUAGCUUCAGACAGAAAGUCCAGCACCUUGGUCCUGCCCCAGGUCACCCUGAGAGACACCGCUGUGUACUACUGCGUCCUGAGAGAGACACAAUGGGACAGACGGGGCUGCACCUGUGCAGUAUCUCUGGUGGGAAGACGUGGGGACAGAGUGGGGGGAGCAGUCAAGAGAGCAAAUCCAGAGUCAUCUAGAAGGAGAGUCAGAGAGCAGUAAGAGAUGAAGAAAAUGAAGGGAAAGGAAAGGGAAGAAGAUGGAUAAAGAAAAGAAGAGAAAGAGGACAAGGAAUAAGCACCCAGUUUACUGAUGAAUCUGAGAAGAAUUUUGAGGCAUGUCAGAAGCAUAAUUUUAACAUAGCAAUAAAGUAAGAGGUGUUAAUAAUUUUUAUGACUCUUUCUCAUGUCAAUAAAAUGUUGGUUUCAGUGUGCUAGUCCCAACAUAAGAAGUAGGAAACAUACAAAUAAUUCUCCUUGUACCAAAGGCUUCUUUCAUUUGGAUCCAAGGCCAAGUCUAGACUCUGAUGUGUUACAGUUGUUCCGCUUACC